rnacentral:rRNA from 1 species
CCCUUAGAUGUUCUGGGCCGCACGCGCGCUACACUGAUGCAUUCAACGAGUUUCUUCCUGGUCCGAGAGGAAUGGGUAACCUUUUGAAAGUGCAUCGUGAUGGGGAUAGACUAUUGCAAUUAUUGGUCUUCAACGAGGAAUUCCUAGUAGACGUAGUUCAUCAGACUGCAUCGAUUACGUCCCUGCCCUUUGUACACACCGCCCGUCGCUCCUACCGAUUGAAUGCUCAGGUGAGCCAUUCGGACUUUCAUCAUGCUGGUUUCCAGUUUUGAUGAAGGAAAGUCUUGCGAACCUUAUCAUUUAGAGGAAGGAGAAGUCGUAACA